AAAGUGUUGACUCUACGCAGCGCUAACAGAACCUAAACGUUUGCUUGUGGUGUGUUUUCAGUACAUUGACCAGUGGAGUGAUGGCUGGAACAGAAACGGUUCCCCAUGUAGCCAUAAGUGGUGCACUAAUCAGAGACCAGGAUGCCAUUUUACCCAGCCUCUCCUCCAGUGAGGGGGGGAAUAGUACCUAAAGGGUGUCUAAUCCAGUGAGAGGGGCCGAAACCUAAGAUGUCUGACUUGAAUAUCUGUCGUGUUGGGACUUGCCCGGAGAAAUGAAGUUUUAGAGAGAAUACUUGUCCUGUUGCAUGAAAUGAGUUUUUCCACUGAAUCAAGUUGUCAGGGACCCCCGGCCGUUCCAUGUGUUUGAUAUAUUGCAGAGCUGACACACCCCAGUCAACUCUGGGGGUCCCUGAGGAGAGGUUUAAACCCCCUGCUGUAGGGAGUCCCUGAGGAGAGGUUUAAACCCCCUGCUGUAAAGAGUCCCUGAGGAGAGGUUUAAACCCCCUGCUGUAGGGAGUCCCUGAGGAGAGGUUUAAACCCCCUGCUGUAGGGAGUCCCUGAGGAGAGGUUUAAACCCCCUGCUGUAGGGAGUCCCUGAGGAGAGGUUUAAACCCCCUGCUGUAGGGAGUCCCUGAGGAGAGGAGUCCCUGAGGAGAGGUUUAAACCCCCUGCUGUAGGGAGUCCCUGAGGAGAGGUUUAAACCCCCUGCUGUAGGGAGUCCCUGAGGAGAGGAGUCCCUGAGGAGAGGUUUAAACCCCCUGCUGUAGGGAGUCCCUGAGGAGAGGUUUAAACCCCCUGCUGUAGGGAGUCCCUGAGGAGAGGAGUCCCUGAGGAGAGGUUUAAACCCCCUGCUGUAGGGAGUCCCUGAGGAGAGGUUUAAACCCCCUGCUGUAGGGAGUCCCUGAGGAGAGGUUUAAACCCCCUGCUGUAGGGAGUCCCUGAGGAGAGGUUUAAACCCCCUGCUGUAGGGAGUCCCUGAGGAGAGGAGUCCCUGAGGAGAGGUUUAAACCCCCUGCUGUAGGGAGUCCCUGAGGAGAGGAGUCCCUGAGGAGAGGUUUAAACCCCCUGCUGUAGGGAGUCCCUGAGGAGAGGUUUAAACCCCCUGCUGUAGGGAGUCCCUGAGGAGAGGAGUCCCUGAGGAGAGGUUUAAACCCCCUGCUGUAGGGAGUCCCUGAGGAGAGGUUUAAACCCCCUGCUGUAGGGAGUCCCUGAGGAGAGGUUUAAACCCCCUGCUGUAGGGAGUCCCUGAGGAGAGGAGUCCCUGAGGAGAGGUUUAAACCCCCUGCUGUAGGGAGUCCCUGAGGAGAGGUUUAAACCCCCUGCUGUAGGGAGUCCCUGAGGAGAGGUUUAAACCCCCUGCUGUAAGGAGUCCCUGAGGAGAGGUUUAAACCCCCUGCUGUAGGGAGCAGACAGUGGCAUAUCUCCCAGGGUUUGUGUCCCACAAUGGCACUAUAUUCCCUAUCCUGUGCACUAUUUUUCAACCAGGACCCAGGGCACUAGAUAGGGAAUAGGGUGCAGACCCAGUAACAUGGAAACAUAGUGAAGCAAACCACUGAUCUGAAUAAAACAAUUUAUGACUGUAUUAACCAACACUGUGUGUCCCAAAUGGCACCCUAUUCCCUAUAUAGUGCACUACUUUAGACCAGAGCCCUUUUCCCUAUAUAGUGCACUUCUUUUGACAAGAGCCCUAUUCCCUAUAUAGUACACUUCUUUUGACAAGAGCCCUAUUUCCCUAUAUAGUACACUUCUUUAGACAAGAGCCCUAUUCCCUAUAUAGUGCACUACUUUAGACCAGAGCCCUAUUCCCUAUAUAGUGCACUUCUUUUGACAAGAGCCCUAUUCCCUAUAUAGUGCACUUCUUUUGACAAGAGCCCUAUUCCCUAUAUAGUGCACUUCUUUUGACAAGAGCCCUAUUCCCUAUAUAGUACACUUCUUUUGACAAGAGCCCUCCCUAUUCCCUAUAUAGUGCACUACUUUUGACUAGAGCCCUAUUCCCUAUAUAGUGCACUUCUUUUGACAAGAGCCC